rnacentral:rRNA from 1 species
GACAGAGGAGCCAAGCGUUGUCCGGAUUGACUGGGCGUAAAGCGCACGCAGGCGGAUGCGCGCGUGGGGGGUGAAAUCUGGCCGCUUAACGGCCAGGCGCCAUCCCAUACGGCGCGUCUGGAGUGAUGCAGAGGUCGAUGGAAUUGCCGGUGUAGUGGUGAAAUGCGUAGAGAUCGGCAGGAACACCCAGGGGGAAACCAGUCGACUGGGCAUCUACUGACGCUGAGGUGCGAGAGCGUGGGGAGCGAACCGG